GCCGCCUGCUGGGAUUCAGAGCCGCGGCUGCUCUUUCUUUCGGAGGCCGGUGGCGUGAGCUAGUGAGGGCCAGUUCCUUCCCCCUGACCACCCAGGCUGGCCGGGGCUGCUUCCCCCACCCCGCCCCGCUCGCAGGCAUUUCCUUCCGCAGGUGUAGCGGCAGCAUUGUGCUGUGUGUCAUCACCUCCGCUAGACUGCAGAGCCCUCCCUUCCCAAGCCUGGAAAGGCGGCGGCGGCGGCGGCAACAGAGGCAAGCGCGCUCGGCCAAAGGGUGGCUUUCUGGGGAGUCUCUCUUUCUCUCUCCUCACACGCUUCAGUGGGAUCUGACAGGAAAUCAGAAACUCAGGAGGAGGAGGGCUGAAAUGGCGAAGAAGGUGAGGGGACAGCCGUGGGUGUCUCUGCCCAGCGCGCAGGGCUGACACGGAAUGACUGGCGGGGGUCACUGUUUCGCUCAAGGAAAAUCUUUCCUUGCUCCCUCUCCUCUUCCUGCAGACUGGCAGCCAGCCCCUGCUUGGCAAGCCUUCCUGAGGAUAUUGAUAUUAUUAUUAUUAUUUUAAAAAAUAAUGGUAGGAUCCAUCCAGCUUAGCUUUUCCAGAAGCAAUCUAGUUGUUUAUGGAAUAGGUUGGAUCCGAAGGAAGUGACAGCGCAUGUCUACUCAGGAGCAAGCCCCGCUGAAGCCAACUAGGCUUACUCCCAGGUCAGGGAGCAGCAAGGUCUGCAGCUGAACUCGAGACUGACUUUCUCCGCAGGUUUCUUGGGGAACUAAGCGCCGCUUCCAGUACAAUCUACUGAGCAUGCCUACUGCAGAGUAAGCCACACUGAGGUCAAUAGGACUUACUCCCAGACAAGACUCAAGAAAUGCAAGGCAAAGUGAAGCGGCUGCAAUACCAAAAGCGUGAAGGAUCCUGAAAACCUAUUAAGAUCAAUUCCUUAUUGAACGGAGGCUAUUGCCCUUAAAAAAAACCACAACCGUUUCCAGGGGUGGCUUCGAGGAUAACCAGCGAAUUUGGACCAUUCAGAUUAAAUUUCUCACACAUUGACGGCUAAGGCACAAUGGAAGUUCUUUACCAUAUCUCAUUUCUUUCAUCUCAUGUUUUUGUUAAAAGAUGACAUGGCGGGUUAAAUGACAGAAAACACGGAUAUAGUAGAAAUUACCGAAAAGAACAAGCCCGCUUUGAACAUCCUCAAAAUUCCUCGACAGGUAAAGAAAUGAAAUCUUAUGAUGGUAAUGAAUUCACCUUGUGGGGAAAUCAAUGAUUUUUAUAAACUCAUUUUAAACAAUUAUUUUAAUUUAUGAAGGCUAAGACACCGAGAGUAUAACAAACAGAUCGUCGACACCACUGUAACGUAAUCUAUAUCUGAAUUCAGAGGGUACAACGACAGCAACUAGCCUGGCCACUGGAUCAAAUAAUAUUUCAACCUGAGCCAAGAAGUCCCAUCUUUUCCGCACGUUUGAGUUUGUGGUUAAAGUUAGCCAGUCUUUCCCUGGCUUACCAACUCUUGCCUGGUAAGGCGAAAUAUACCAGAACAAAACUCAGCAGGGAAAUAUUCCUUUACAUUUAAAUUCUUUGUUUUAUUUUUUCUUAAAAGAUAAUUUUGUCUUAUUUUUGCCUUUUAAAAAUACAUGCCAAUCAGAGCCGACCGGUGUCUUUGUUUCAUAUCAUCUUGAUCAACUGAACAGUUUCGAUUCUAGGCUGAAAGAAACAUAUAUUUUUCUCUUUUUUUAACCUUUUAACUCUGGUGGAUGUUGUAGCUAUGCCCCCCUCCCUCCCGAAACGGACGAUCAGCUAGGGAAGCCGGUUCCUCUCUCUCUAUUCCACGUAAAGGUUAUUCUGACUCCAACGGAAUAAAUAUGAAGGGAAGUACAGAGGUCGCUUCCCCGAAACCUACAGAGCUCUCUUCACAAUGGCCCGCUUCCCCAAAGCCUCUUUUGUUUAAUUUUCGGAAGCUCCUACCGAAGCCAUUUGUCUCGUCCUCAAGCGGCCCGACUCGAAGAAAAACAGAAUACUUCAAUUUCAACUUUUGCCAGGCACACACAAGCGUGUAAACAUACUUCCCUCUCUCUUUUUUUCCUUUUGGAGAGAGACUGUGAAAGGGCGGCUACAAAUUACACAACACAAGAUCCUCUCGGAAAAUUUCAAAAGAGGUGGGUGGGAAGAAGAAGAAGCUGACCGUGGGGUAACUGGAUCUCUUCCCCUUCCCCCACCCCCGCUCCACCAAGGGAAACGUCUUUGCGGAUCCCUCGAUCACCUACUUCUCGCUUGCCACUUUCCGGCCUGGUUUCAUGCAACUUGUCAAUUUCACACCAAUUCCGAGGGAGGAGAGGAACCCUGCCCUUCUGAAGCCCUCGUUCCCUACCUCAAUCUGUUAAGAAUGAACCGAGCCUUGCACAGAUUGACCCCCAGCAAGAUGAAACGGCGGAGAAUGUGAUCUCCUUCGUUCCCAAGAAGAAAAGCCGUGGGGUUGCUGUUUGGAGGUACCUACCUCCUCCCCUCCCCUAUUUCCUAUUUUCAGCAGGCUUGCGGCAUCAACAGUUUCGAGAAUUGAUUUAUCUUGAAACAGUCUUUACAGAAGUCGGUCUCUCCCACCCGCCCCUUAUAAACUCGCCAUGCUUUAUUUAAAGAUCCUGGAUUAUUUGUUCCAAUAACAAUUGGGGAAAGAAACAGGCAUACACAUAAACAUGGCAUUUUAGGCACUGUUCUUUCCUCUAAAAGUAAUGAGACCAAAGGAAAUAAAGUUUGGGAACUGGAAGGGACAGCUUUUCUGGAAGGAGGGAUUUUGCAUCAGGUUCAGAUUGGUUUUUCACAAGAUUAAUAAUAAUAAUAAUAAUAAUAAUAAUAAUAAGUUUAUUAUUUAUACCACACUUUUAGGGUUCUCCUAAAGAGACUACCGGUAAGGCUUGAUUAUAACCCACAUAUAUGCACACACAUUUAUUUAUGCAUUACAUGCAAAACAAUACAUUGUACAUGUUUGCCCAUGUGGUGGUGGUGGUGGGAAACAGGCAGUAUAUGCAUAUAGAAGUAUAGCCGGAGCAUUGCAAAGACAGAUCCAUAAAUAGGAACACCAAAAAGGAAUAUGCGGCCACACUGAAAAUGGUAUUUUGAGUGUUCAAAUUGAGUUACUGACAUGCAAAUUAUGCUCAGGCCUCAGAUGAGUAAUUUAAUUGAGGAUUUUCAAUGUGUGCAUUUAUUUAAUCAACCAGGCAUCUAAUCAGCCAAAAUCAACAAUCACUUGAGAUGCUUGCAUGUUAUGUGCAUCUAGGUGUCAUUAUCACCUACCUAAACAGGCCUCCCAAACAUAUAAUGAUACAACCUUAUUUAUGCAAAUUGCCUGAUGGAAUGGCUUUCUUUUUGUUCUUUCGUUAGUAAACAAAAAUGGUAGAAAUGGAAAAGCUGUUUAUUUGAAAAUCCUUUUCAGAAUAUAGUAUUUGUUUGAUUAACUGCAGUUCUGUAGUACACCUAUGAUACUGUGUGAGUUUCUUCAUACGUGUCUACACACAUACCAUAAAAUCACACAGUAGAAAGAAGUCCAGUCACCCAGUCCUGACUACAGAACAGGACUAUGCAAUCCUAUGCAGUCUAUGCAAUCCAAACUUACAACAUGCCAUGAAUAAAGAACAGGCGCAUCUCACAAAGAUGCUACCAGCCCAUGCACCCCAAAUUACUGAGAGCUGCUUCCCAUACCAAACAAGAACAAAACAAACACUGCAAUCCUAUGUAUGUCUACUCAGAAGGAAACUCACUGAGUUCAAUGGGACUUAUUGCCUGGUAAAUGGAUAUAUGAUUGCUGCCUAUGGAUUUCAGGAUAUCCUGUAGUAAUCUAUAACUGUCUUGAAGUCCUUGAAUCAUUUUUUAACUCACCCAAACAAACAUUACUCUUUAGUUGUGUCAUUCAUAAAUUGUUGCAUUACAUGAGGGGAACUAGUCAGCUGAGCAUUAAAAAACCCCAAGCAAACUUUAAUAUACUUGGGUGGGGUUUUUUUGGUUGCAAAAUCAGGGAUUGAUAACCUGUGGCUCCAAAUGUUGUUGGACUACAGCUCCCAUCAUCCCUAACCAUUGUCUAGGCUGGCUGCGGCUGAUGAGAGUUGGAGCCCAACAUUUGGAUAGCCACACUUAGUCAGGCCUGGUCAAAAUCUUCAACCCCCCAGAAUCCAAAUCAAACUUUGUUCUACAUCACUGUUGAACCCAUAUAUCUGCAUUCAGGUUGAUUAGCUCUUGGGGGAGCAAGUCCUGUUAAUUCAUAGGCAGCAGCAGAAAUCAAUGGGAUUUCCCCCCACAUACUGUAUUACUGUAGUCACACUGUACAUUUAAAGCACACAUAAAGCACAUGGCUUUAGGGACUGCAGCAUCCUCAGCAGAUUACAAUUUCCCAGGAUUCUUUGGGAGAAGCCAUGUGCUUUACAUGUAGGGUGUGAUGGUUGUAUGGGGUAGAAAUGCACAUGCCAACACUAAUCAGAUUCAGUUGGAGCCCAGAUUAUUGUCACUGGUUCAGGGCAAAAAUGCUUAGGGAUGGGAUGCCUUUGCUAUCAACUUCAUAAUGGAAUUAAACAGGCUCCAGGAGUCUAAGCGCUUGGCUUAAUUGCACUGCAGAUCACACUGUUGGAAUGCUGGGGUAUUUAAAUGCAUGUCUUCCAGCGAGUAUAAGCUGUAUGCUUCCCCAUGCACACCCAGAUGAAAUAAGAACUGUUCCGUUCUCUGAGUUUUGCAUUGGAGAAUAUCCUAGUAUAUCUGAUCUAUUGAAGUCCAUGAGUAUUUUGCUAUUGAAGUCAAAGAGCUGUGCAUUGUGCACUAAGGCUCAUGCUUUUAACAAAUUCCCUACAGUCUUUUUGCAAAGGUUGUUGUUUCCCACUGUUAAUCCCUGAUAAAGUUUUCCUGCUCUAUAAAUAUAAUUUGUGAAAGUGA